UGCAAAUCACCCUCCGAUAGUGGUAAUUCUUGAAUUCUAGGAGGAGAUCAAUAAAUUCCAUUCCCAUUUGUACACGGAGCUAUUUCACGAUUGUUUGAAGCUGAAGAAUUUCUCUUAGUCGAGAUAACACAGUUAUGAGCUGUAAGAAAGUCUAUUCCCAAAAUUCCUUCAUCCUCGAUAUCUGCUAUGAAAACCUUAUGUGGAGAGUCGAUACAACCGAACAGGUUAAUUUGUACAACAACCUGACUCAAAACCGGGGUUGUCUCUCCAGUGGCUGUUCGCAGGGACAAAGAGGGAACAGUCUGGUCAUCGGAUUUAAAGAUAUCCGAUCUAACGUCGGUCAC